AACGAACGCUGGCGGCAGGCCUAACACAUGCAAGUCGAACGCUCGUAGCAAUACGGGAGUGGCAGACGGGUGAGUAACACGUGGGAACCUUCCCUAUGGUUCGGAAUAGCUCAGGGAAACUUGGGGUAAUACCGGAUAAGCCCUUCGGGGGAAAGGAUUUAUCGCCAUUGGAUGGGCCCGCGUCGGAUUAGCUAGUUGGUGAGGUAACGGCUCACCAAGGCAACGAUCCGUAGCUGGUCUGAGAGGAUGAUCAGCCACACUGGGACUGAGACACGGCCCAGACUCCUACGGGAGGCAGCAGUGGGGAAUAUUGGACAAUGGGCGCAAGCCUGAUCCAGCCAUGCCGCGUGAGUGACGAAGGCCUUAGGGUUGUAAAGCUCUUUCAGCGGGGAAGAUAAUGACGGUACCCGCAGAAGAA
rnacentral:rRNA from 1 species